UUUGAUUCGUCAUAUCGAAUAAUUUUUGUAUUGAAAUUCGACCUUUUAUUCAAAUAAUUACAGUCGCCGAUCAAUUUUUCUUACACAAAAGAGGCCACACAAUUUUUCGG
rnacentral:lncRNA from 1 species